CUGAGGUAUACUGAGCUCUCAAUGCCAGCGCCUGGGCUUAGAGCUUUGUGGCCAUGAGACUAGAGCCAUCCCAGAAUAAGGAACAAAUACGUACACCACUUGACUGCGCCCAAACCCAUCUCGCUUUGUUGUUCAUCAUGUAGCUGCGGCUUUAUUUGUGAAAGGGGGAAGUGAGGAAGGGAAUGGGGGAAAUAGGAGGAGGAAUCUCCAGGACCUUAUCUACAAUCUAAAUAGUCGUGGUAAGAUCUCCGGGAGUGAUAAAGGCGAUCGGACAGCCCGGUGUCUCCCAAUAGCGGCGGUCUAACAAUAAAACCUGAUAGUGUCCGGGGGAAAAGCCCACAUCCACGACCAGCGCCACGUUUGGGCUUUGUGCCAAUAAGGAGACACUGUAGACUAUCGAUCAGAAUCGUCUAUUAUCAGAGCGUGCGUCUGGGGUUCCAGCGUGGCCUUUAUGAGCGGUGGCGAAGGCGGGACACGCGCCAGGCGCCCAGCGAAGGACGUGGGACAAUGGCCCAGCCCGAGGACGCGGGACGCCGCCCGACCAGGGGAUGGAAGCUCCAGCAGCGGAUCCGGGAGCCCGGAGGCCAGGAGGGCUGCGCGCUCUGAAGCGCCGGGCUGCUCGGGCAGACGAAUAACAGAGGAAGGCGAGUCACUCACCGUGGUCUUGACCGGCACGUAGAGCACUUGCUUUGCGCCGCCGCCCCCGCGGACCUCGUCCGGCUGGCCCAGCUGGAAACCCUUCGAUUUGACCCAGAAUUUAAAUUUGGCGUUGUCCGUGGAGCUCGACUCGCAGCCGUUGAGGAGCUGGACGAUCCGCUCGUAUUUUUUACGGGUCACCGUCUUGGUCUUGCCUGAGUCCCCGUAAGUCCUGAGGCACCAGUCCUGGAACUGGCGGUACAUGUCGCGCUCACUCUCCAUGUUCCCUGCUCCCGGCCGCCGGCCGGAUGCUCCCAGCGCACUUCGCACCUGUUCACCCCGGGCUCAUGAAAAAUGCAGCUCCCGCCACGAUGUAGGGACGCGAGGUCCCGGCCGCCGCCAGAGCCUGCCUCGGUUUGCAGUUCACACGGGAGGUUUCGGAUGUCUAUUUUCCCCCUGCCACGUCAUGGACACCCCCUCCACACCUCAGAGUGGCCAAAUAUGAGUUCCUCCGGACGAUUUCUCAAGCAAAUGAAAUCAGCGGUUCCUCCAUUCAGGAUUUCCAUCCGUUUGUUACAGAGCUUGGAAUAGGAGAGUUCCCAUCCUCCUCGCGCUGCGAUUGCGGCCGCUCCUCUUUAUUCUACUCUCUGCGGAGGCCCGCGCCCGUCCCGGGAGGCGGCUCUGCCAGCAAGGCGGCCCGACCAGCGCUCAGCGCCGGGUCCGCGUCCUAGCCCACCUUCGCCCCUCGUCGUGGUCUCCAAGACGAAAGCCCCGACUGAGAACGCGGAGUGUUUGUACCCAGUGCGCCGCAGCUGGUCCCGGCACUUGCAAAAUGGUCAGUGGCUCCUGCUCGGCCAGGCUUAGUGUGUGCGUGUGUGUGAGCCAGGGAGCGAGGGCGUGCGGUGUGCAGGGGGUGCGCCGUGUGUGAGCGCGUCUCCGGGAAGGUCUCGCGGCGGCUGGAGCCGGGACUGACAGCCCAGGCGGAGCGCGAGCAGCUCCACACACUAAACCUCUCGCCUCUCCCCUCACCCCCACCCCUCCCACUCCCCUCUCCUCCCGCCCCCCCUUCCCCGGCCCCUUCCAAGCUCUCUGAUUGGCCAAUGGGACAAAAGUUUCUGUGGAGACGGCUGGGCGCUGACGUCACGGACAGAAUUGUCCCAUUUAGGGAUCCCGGGGGCAGUGCGCAUGCUGCAGGCUGCAGGUUAAAGGCAGGAGGAGGUAGCAGCGGGCCCGGCGGCAGCCAGGUGGCGGAAAGGAGCACUCAGCAUCCAGGUGGGGGGACGACUCCAGCAGGGUUUCCAUGGAGAUUCCUCUGGGUCUAGCCUAAAAACAGCAGAUCAGCUGACACCAUUAGCUCAGGACCUAAUUACUGCUUAUUGGAGCAACAAAUGAGGGAGAGGGCCAGCUGCAAAGGAAGAGUUUUUAUCCACCCCCCCUCCCCAUCUCCUCCUCUCUCCCCUCUCUGGGGGGUUCUAGAGUCCCGGGUGAAUUCUCAUUAACUUGCAAGAUUGCUGCAUCGACAGCUCCUCCUCUAGAGGCUACCUUGACUGCUUUUAUUCUUUUUAUUCCCUUCUUUUGUAUCAAAAAGAAAAUGCUAAAAUAAAUCAGUUGUCCUGAGUCCUUGAAUUAUUUUUGCCCAAUAAAUAUUACACCGGUAGAGCUCAGAGAAUCCACCGGCCAAUAGAAGUCACAAGUGGAUCACAUAUAAGGGAAGGAUCACUUUCAGUUUAUUGAAUUGGGUAUUUAUCUUUAGGCUUUUCACAUUAAAACUUUUUUUUCAAUAUCUUAAAUAAAUAUUUGGAACAAGCAAUUGGACAGAAUAGUAUUUUCCA